rnacentral:rRNA from 1 species
AGAGUUUGAUCCUGGCUCAGAUUGAACGCUGGCGGCAUGCCUUACACAUGCAAGUCGAACGGCAGCGCGGGUGCUUGCACCUGGUGGCGAGUGGCGAACGGGUGAGUAAUAUAUCGGAACGUACCUUAUCGUGGGGGAUAACGCAGCGAAAGCUGCGCUAAUACCGCAUACGCCCUGAGGGGGAAAGCGGGGGACCGUAAGGCCUCGCGCGAUUAGAGCGGCCGAUAUCUGAUUAGCUUGUUGGUGGGGUAAAAGCCCACCAAGGCGACGAUCAGUAGCUGGUCUGAGAGGACGAUCAGCCACACUGGGACUGAGACACGGCCCAGACUCCUACGGGAGGCAGCAGUGGGGAAUUUUGGACAAUGGGGGCAACCCUGAUCCAGCAAUGCCGCGUGAGUGAAGAAGGCCUUCGGGUUGUAAAGCUCUUUUGUCAGGGAAGAAACAGCAGCUCUAACACAGUCUGCGAAUGACGGUACCUGAAGAAUAAGCACCGGCUAACUACGUGCCAGCAGCCGCGGUAAUACGUAGGGUGCAAGCGUUAAUCGGAAUUACUGGGCGUAAAGCGUGCGCAGGCGGUUAUACAAGACAGGCGUGAAAUCCCCGGG